CCCACUGUGCACGGCUGCUUACCUACAGAGCUGGGAAUCCCCACGCCGCUCACCGCCGCACACACAUUCACCUUCAGGCUGGAAGAGAAGAAUAUCAAGGAGAGAGAAAAGACUGUGAUAACCGAAUGGAUGCGGCAGCCGUUCGUGGCACACAUCCCCAUACCCCCAUCUGAUGACUUUAGCAGAGCAGAGGAGGAAACCAACGCAGGAGAACAUGGGGAUGGUAGUGGAGGAGUGCAUGGGGGAACGAUGAAAUGUGGAGGUCAACAACGAAGAGGAGGGAGGCUAUAAUGAAAGGAGCUGGAAGCAAACCCGAGAAGUGAAAGAAUGCAAGAAUUUUGAUUAUAACAUGGGGAGCUGAGUGGAAAGGAGAGAGGGUGGACUUUGCUGAGUAAUUACCAGGAUACUGAUUGUUGUCCACGUCUUGGCCUCCUCUCAGAGUGAAUCCGAAUCCAGGCAAACUGCUCCCGGGGCUCGAGGCCGCUCGCAGCUCUUGGCUCAGCAUCAGGCCUUGUGCUGAUACAUCUCUGUUACCGUUGAAGAUCAAUACUCUGCCUCCACGGUCGUCGCCUCCGAACGGACAGCCCACUGCCACGUCUAAAAGAUGACACACACAUGUAUGGUUUAGACAUCAGCAGGGUUAAGGGCCCUACGAGACAGAAGCAAAGGAAAACAUACAGGUAGAAAGGAAAGGAAAGGGAGGGGAAGGGAAAGAACUUGACCUUCUUGCAUAUGUUUGUAUGACCAUUUACUUUCUUUAAGUUUGUUAGACUUAUUCUUUAAUCUUAUUCCAGCUCUUUCUUAUGUCAUUUGUCUGGGCAUUCUUGAAGUCAUUGCUCUUACUCUAACCCAAAUUGGUACAUGGUAGCCACUAACAAGCACAGGAAAUGAAAUAAAAAGAAAACAAGUCAAAGUUUGUCCAAAGGUAACAAAAUCUGCAGACCAGCACUUCUGAAAUCCGAAUUCUGAACCCCAAAACCCACCAACAGCAUUUUAAGGACAUGUUUUCUUUAGAAGAUGGCCAAAUUUACAACAUUUAUCAGAGCCACAUACUGUAAAAACAGACAGAAUUCUCUGAUUUUCUACUUUCAUGCACCAUCACUAAAGAUGUGUAACACCAGGAAAAUGACCAAGUUUACUUUAUUCUACAUAUUACUUCAAAAAAAUUGGUAAAACGAUGUCUGCUCUAACCAAGAAACUAAACAUUCUAGACUCCCUAGCACAUCCAUGAAGCCAUAGCUGACUCGACAGCAAUCAACAGUCAUAUGACAAAAGUUCAAGGCUGAACUGCAGUUUGUGUCUACACAGAGCAGAUAUAUGUGUAAGGAAACAAAUGCAGAAGUGCCUUAAACUUGCAUUCUUUUGAGCCUCCAGCAGGGGGCGACUUCCUUGGUGGCAGAAAGAUCUGAUACUACAGAAAUCUAAUAGAAAAUGAGCUUACUUCCUUUUUGAUCUGUUACUUCAGUGAACAUUUUAUUAAUGAGUUUAUGGUAUCAAUUGCUAGAUUAAACACUCUUUGAAUGCAGCAUGACAUUCAUUUUUGUAAAUUAUGGUUACAUUUAGAGGAAAAUAGACAAUAAAGCAGGGUAUGUUUUAGUCAGUAAGCGUAGUGUCAUUCAGCUCUCAGUCAGAUCCACCUCUUGCUGGGGGUCAAAUUCUAAAUUAGAGGCUUUGAAAUAGCAGCUUACAAACCACCGGGUGACGUCAUGGUCACUUUGUCCACCGUCUAUGUACAGUCUAUGGUAAUAGCCUAUUUAUACUAAAAGAAAAAUGUUUAAAAAAGCAUUUCUUUCAACUAAAGCUCUGUAAAACAUGAAUAAACAAAGGUGUUUUAACAGA